rnacentral:lncRNA from 1 species
GUUAAAACUUAUCACAUAGGAGGGAUUACAUGUGUCCAAAAUUAGAAAGCAUGUAGUUGUGAGAGACCAAGUUUCAGAGCUGUAUGCUCACAGCUCUUGGCUACUGGGAAUUCAGGAUGUCCCUGACACGUCUAAGAUGGCACCUCAUGGCUGUGGGAACCCUGGUGCUCAGAAGCCAGCCGAGCCUAGGGUUCUCCUACUCAUUGGUUGAGGGCACCACUUUCAGAUAAAAACAUAGACCUGAAUGGCAUCACCCAGUAUCCAAGGAAACCGUAUUUUCUCACUUUGGACAAGACAGAUCCUUUACCAGGGAUGUGGAAAUGUGAGCU